CAAGAUCUCCACGACACCGCAUCCUGUUGCCAAGUUCAUCUUUGAUUGGUUUGCGACUUCACAUGCCAGCGAUAGUGAGAUGACCGUGUUACCAGAGAUCAAGAAUAAGGAACUAUGGGUUCACAAGACCAUAAGUUUACUAUUGUUGGUGAAAUAGUAUCCCUCAGUUACU